GGGCGGUUAGCUCAGUGGUAGAGCGGCUCGUUUACACCGAGCGGGUCGGGGGUUCGAAUCCCUCACCGCCCACCA
rnacentral:tRNA from 1 species